rnacentral:lncRNA from 1 species
CUGCGUAACUCGUUAUAUUUCUGUACACCCACUGCAUCUAACAAUGUUGAGCACAUCCUAAAUUCUCAAACGCUUGUGGCUAAUGGUGGAAAGUAGAGAUCGCCCUUUUUUAGCUGCCUAAGCCAAAGAAGAGUUUAGAAGAAAGCAAGGAAUGGGAGACGAAGCAAAAGCCAAAUUAAAGAAUACAUUGAGGUAUUUCCAGUGACUUUUAAAUCAAGACUUGAAGAAAGAAAAGGAGCAAGGCACAAGAAGAUCAUACGGAACUGGGUUCCAGGUAGAAGGAACAGCACUUCAAAGGUCCCAAGUCAGGAAAGACUGAAUAUAUUCAAGGCACUGAGAGGAGCCAUAGAGGACAGAGGGCAGCAGAUGAGUGAAUGACGGCUGUGCAGCGAGGACGAGAAGGUCAGAGGGAAGCAGAUCACCUAGGAUUUUGUAGACCAUGAUGAAACAAUAAAAAAGCUUGUUUGGGGCAAUGAAGAGGUGAAAGCACACGUGAGUAAGCAAGAAAAUUGACCUAGAGGAAGUGAUCAAUCUAAACAGCAGAGAAGUAGUGCUUCUGGAAAAACCCUAAUCACACUCAUUCGCUUUGCAGUAAUGAAGUGGAAAAGGCACCUUAUCAAGACAAGUUGGAAUGGGGAAACUUCUGAAGCCUCCUCUGGUCCACCUGCUCUUGAUGUCACACGUGGCAGCUGUCCCUGCAUUGUUCUGAGUCACAUUUAGGCUACCGCUGCUGCUGCUGCUGAUGAUACUGAUGCACCAGACUGCUGAGGCUCAUCUUUCUUCUGCAACAUCUCUUCUGAGCUAGGCUCCUGCACCCACUGCUUUGAUCCACCUUGUGAAGGGUACAGUUUUAUUAGAGUUUUGAAGAUUUUAAGUCUCUGAGCAAUCCAAAUCCUUUCGAAGUUGAAGAAUAUCUUUUUCUCAACAAACAGAAGCAUCCUUUUUAUGUUAAUACAGUCAUGCAAAGAAACAAUGACAGAAUAGUUGGUAUGGGAGUAAUGCCCUGAAAGAGAUGAGUCACUGUCUGAGGCAGAAACCGGAAGGCGUAAAGCUCCCUGUGGGGAAUACAACAAAGACGUGGGAACCAUUAUAGGACGAUCGACGUUGCCUCUGCCAUCACCUGGGUUUGUGAAUGGCUUCAUCAGCACUUCAUGCUAACACUAUUAAAUACGAAGUGUCAAGCUCAGCACUCACAGAAGGUGACCUGGACUAGAGCCAGGCCCCCAGCUGAGCCUGUGAUGAGCAUCCAGGAGCUGCUCGAAUGAGGGAUCAAUGACUUGCAAGUUUACCAGGCAGAAUAAUGAAUAGAAGUGGGACAACUGCAAGCAAAAUUGGCAUGAGAAAUGAGGGUACUGAGAGAGUGGCCAAGAGUAGGGCACAGCUGCAGAAAGUUGAGGAACUAGCCCGCUAGAAUCUGACCUGGGAGGUACAAACACAGCGCGGAAAACUUGGUAGUCCUAUGAGGAUUUUGGGGGCAGAGAAAAUACUCUGUAUGAUACCAUAAAGAUGAAUACAUGUCUUUAAACGUUUGUCCAAACCCAUAGAAUGUACAACACCUCUCUGGCGGGGGAUGUUGAUAAUGGGGGAGAUUAUGUUUGUGACGGGCCAGGAAAUCUCUGUACUUUUCCCUCAAUUUUGCUGUGAACCUAAAAUUGCUCUAAAAAAGAAAAAUGAAGUCAAUAAAAAAAAGUUUUUUGUAAGGAAUAAACACACUAAGAUGUUUAUAUGAGCAAUCAUUUUGGUUAGUUUCAAUACAAUGCUAUCUAAAAGAUAUGGCUAGUUGUAUACUUGCAUCUUCUGCUAAAAUGAUAUUUGAACACCUCCAAGGCUAUAAGCUUGCAUGACCAGGAUGAGAAUAGAGCCUAUUGAGAAGCACGAGGAAGAUGAGUUGGAAGAUGAACUGGAAGAUGAGUUGGUUGUAGAGGAAAGAUUAUGAUUUCUACUUAGAAGGACUUUCUAUCUCAAAUAUUCAUACCACUAAAAGAAUGCUGAAUGUUAAUAAUGACAUUUAAUGUUAUAGUAGUAUUAAAAUAGAGUUGCUGUAUUUUUCUUAGAGAGUAAUAAAAAUUGAUAAGGAUUUUGAGACACACUUCUAUUUCUCAUUUAAUUGCACUCUUUGUAUCCACACCAGCCCAUCAAUGUAAGAUAAGAGAAAACACAGGUUUGUAUUACCCAGUUGGAUGCUACGCUGAUAUUUACUAAUAGAACUCUGCUGAUACAGAAGUAGAUAGUAAAAUAAGUUUUAUGUCAAUUGCUCAGGUAUUUUAGGAGGAGAAGAUAAGAUUAUGUUGAAAAGUAAACUGUAAGUUCCUUCGCUGGAGUUGCUGUGAGUUUUUAUUUCUUUACAUGUCCUAGUUUGUGAAAUGCUCACACGUGAGGCAUGCCAGGACCUAAGCCGACAGGGAGGAGACAGAAGCUAGGGAAGGAGCCUGGGAAAUACAACCUAAUGCAAUAGCUGCCGCCACCUGUAGCAGCUAAGUGAUUCAUUGUACAAAAGGCAAGCGUAGCCCCAGUUGAGGUUAUUUCUAAGAUCUAAGGGUGUCCAGCGGUUAAGUGGGGCAGGGAUAAAGUAGAAAGUCAUUGUGUCAGUUCAUACUCAAAAACAAGUGGGCGUCAGCAUCAUUUUAACUAUUUAAUUCAUGGCGGAAAUACAGCCAGUGAACCGGAGGCUGGGGAGGAGUGAGGAGGUAAUGGUCAAAGGAAAGCAAGGUCUAGCCUCUGGGAGGGAAGCUUAAGGUAGAUAAGGAGAUUUGGGGUGGUGUUCAAGCCUAGGUUGGCGGAAGGGGUAUUAAAAUCAUAAGCAGAGGAAAUUGAGGCAUAAUAUGGCUGAGAUGAACUGGCCCAAUUGGUACUCCCAUUAUUAGCAAUAAACAUAAAAGUGAUAAUAGCCACCGUCUAUUGGAUACUUAGUGUGUACCAGUACAUUUUAUACAUCCUCUCAUCUGAAUUCAAGCUGUAAAACAGCCCAAUGAAGUAGUUACUAGGGUCUCCAUUUUUAGAGAUGAGGAAAGUAAUUACUGGAAGAUUUAAUAACUUGAGCAAAGUCAUACAAUUAGUAACAAGCAGAGAUGGAAUUUGAGUGCAGGCUUUCUGAUGCUCACACCGGCGCGCUUGAGUACUACUACAUAGUACUAGGGGUUAAAUUCUCUGACAAAAUUCUGUCCUACUUAGGAUUUGAUGAGGAACUUGAUGACCUGAACCAACCGCUGGAGGGAUCAGAGACAAACUUUAAAGGACUGAAGCAUUCUCUCUUUCUUCCAUACCAUCUAACUCCGGGGCCUUACAUUCCAUUGUUGAAUAUUUAUUGUUCAUUUUCUUAUUGCUUUUAAAUCCAAGUUAGGAAGAUUAAGGAGAGAACAACAACAAAACCUUCUCCUCUGCUAUGCCAGGAUGGAGAUUUAUGCUGCUUGGGAAAAAGAAAUUUUCUUCUCCAGAGAGGCAAGAUGCGAUAUGUAUCUUCCCAUAAAUCAUGAACCUUCAGGAUCCGGCUGUAGUCACCAUCUGUACACGUUUGAACAGUUGGCCAAUUAUGUCAAUUGACCCAAUUUAAUAAAUUUAUGUAUAACUUGAGUUAGACAUCUAGUGGCUAGCUAAAGAAUGUUUGUCUUUUCAGGUGUUCUCUAUUCCUAUGUUUGUCUAGCCUAUAGUAAACACUCAAUAAAAGUUGGCUGCUCUUA